GUGAGCCUCCGGUAGACAGAGUCAGACAGAUCAGAGAGAGAGAGACAGGUCAGAGAGACAGACAGGUACCUGGUACUCCCUGUGAGCCUCCAGUAGACAGAGAGACAGGUCAGAGAGACAGACAGGUCAGAGAGACAGACAGGUACCUGGUACUCCCUGUGAGCCUCUAGUAGACAGAGACAGAGAGAGAGACAGGUCAGAGAGACAGACAGGUCAGAGAGACAGACAGGUACCUGGUACUCCCUGUGAGCCUCUAGUAGACAGAGUCAGACAGAGACAGAGAGAGAGACAGGUCAGAGAGACAGACAGGUACCUGGUACUCCCUGUGAGCCUCCAGUAGACAGAGACAGACAGAGAGACAGGUCAGAGAGACAGACAGGUACCUGGUACUCCCUGUGAGCCUCCAGUAGACAGAGACAGACAGAGAGACAGGUCAGAGAGACAGACAGGUACCUGGUACUCCCUGUGAGCCUCUAGUAGACAGAGUCAGACAGAGACAGAGAGAGAGACAGGUCAGAGAGACAGACAGGUACCUGGUACUCCCUGUGAGCCUCUAGUAGACAGAGUCAGACAGAGACAGAGAGAGAGACAGGUCAGAGAGAC